CCUAACCUAGCGGCGGACGGGUGAGUAAUGCUUAGGAAUCUGCCUAUUAGUGGGGGACAACAUUCCGAAAGGAAUGCCAACACCGCAUACGACCUACGGGAGAAAGGGGGCAGUUUACUGCUCUCGCUAUUAGAUGAGCCUAAGUCGGAUUAGCUAGAUGGUGGGGUAAAGGCCUACCAUGGCGACGAUCUGUAGCUGGUCUGAGAGGAUGAUCAGCCACACCGGGACUGAGACACGGCCCGGACUCCUACGGGAGGCAGCAGUGGGGAAUAUUGGACAAUGGGGGAAACCCUGAUCCAGCCAUGCCGCGUGUGUGAAGAAGGCCUUUUGGUUGUAAAGCACUUUAAGCAGUGAAGAAGACUCUUCGGUUAAUACCCGGAGACGAUGACAUUAGCUGCAGAAUAAGCACCGGCUAACUCUGUGCCAGCAGCCGCGGUAAUACAGAGGGUGCGAGCGUUAAUCGGAUUUACUGGGCGUAAAGCGUGCGUAGGCGGCUGAUUAAGUCGGAUGUGAAAUCCCUGAGCUUAACUUAGGA
rnacentral:rRNA from 1 species